UACGAAGGGGGCUAGCGUUGCUCGGAAUCACUGGGCGUAAAGCGCACGUAGGCGGAUUGCUAAGUCAGGGGUGAAAUCCUGGAGCUCAACUCCAGAACUGCCUUUGAUACUGGCGAUCUUGAGUCCGGGAGAGGUGAGUGGAACUGCGAGUGUAGAGGUGAAAUGCGCAGAUAUCGGGAGGAACACCAAUGGCGAAGGCAGCUUGCUGGGACGGUACUGACGCUGAGACGCGAAAGCGUGGGGAGCAAACAGG
rnacentral:rRNA from 1 species